rnacentral:rRNA from 1 species
CUACGGGGCGCAGCAGUGGGGAAUAUUGGACAAUGGGGGAAACCCUGAUCCAGCAAUGCCGCGUGUGUGAAGAAGGCCUGCGGGUUGUAAAGCACUUUCGGUUGGGAGGACUGCUUCUAGCACUAAUAUUGUUGGAAGUUGACGUUACCUUCAGAAGAAGCACCGGCUAACUCCGUGCCAGCAGCCGCGGUAAUACGGAGGGUGCAGGCGUCAAUCGGAAUUACUGGGCGUAAAGCGCGCGUAGGCGGCUAGAUCAGUCGGGUGUGAAAGCCCCGGGCUUAACCUGGGAACUGCAUCCGAUACUGUCUAGCUUGAGUACAGGAGAGGAGAGUGGAAUUCCACAUGUAGCGGUGAAAUGCGUAGAUAUGUGGAGGAACACCAAUGGCGAAGGCAGCUCUCUGGCCUGAUACUGACGCUGAGGUGCGAAAGCGUGGGGAGCAAACAGGAUUAGAUACCCCCGUAGUC